UACGUAGGUGGCAAGCGUUGUCCGGAUUUAUUGGGCGUAAAGCGAGUGCAAGCGGUUCAAUAAGUCUGAUGUGAAAGCCUUCGGCUCAACCGGAGAAUUGCAUCAGAAACUGUUGAACUUGAGUGCAGAAGAGGAGAGUGGAACUCCAUGUGUAGCGGUGGAAUGCGUAGGUAUAUGGAAGAACACCAGUGGCGAAGGCGGCUCUCUGGUCUGCAACUGACGCUGAGGCUCGAAAGCAUGGGUAGCGAACAGG
rnacentral:rRNA from 1 species